rfam:Triticum aestivum genome assembly, contig: Triticum_aestivum_CS42_TGACv1_scaffold_031425_1BL
GAAGUACUCCCUCUGUUCGGAAUUACUUGUCACAAAAAUGGAUGUAUCUACAAUUAAAAUAAAUGUAGAUACAUUCAAUUUUUUGGACGAGUAAUUUCAAACGGAGGGAGUAUCUU